UAGUUUGAUCCUGGCUCAGCAACGAACGCUGGCGGCAGGCUUAACACAUGCAAGUCGAACGAUCCGUGCCCUUCGGGGCACAAUGGAUAGUGGCGCACGGGUGAGUAACGCGUGGGAAUAUGCCCUAGAGUACGGAAUAACCAAGGGAAACUCUGGCUAAUACCGUAUACGCCCUACGGGGGAAAGAUUUAUCGCUCUGGGAUUAGCCCGCGUCUGAUUAGUUUGUUGGUGAGGUAACGGCUCACCAAGGCGACGAUCAGUAGCUGGUCUGAGAGGAUGGCCAGUCACACUGGGACUGAGACACGGCCCAGACUCCUACGGGAGGCAGCAGUGGGGAAUAUUGGACAAUGGGGGCAACCCUGAUCCAGCCAUGCCGCGUGAGUGAAGAAGGCCCUCGGGUUGUAAAGCUCUUUCAGCAGGGACGAUGAUGACGGUACCUGCAGAAGAAGCCCCGGCUAACUCCGUGCCAGCAGCCGCGGUAAUACGGAGGGGGCUAGCGUUGUUCGGAAUUACUGGGCGUAAAGCGCGCGUAGGCGGU
rnacentral:rRNA from 1 species